rnacentral:rRNA from 1 species
GACGCUGGCGGUAGGCUUAACACAUGCAAGUCGUGCGAGAAAGUAUCUUCGGAUAUGAGUAGAGCGGCGGACGGGUGAGUAACGCGUAGGAAUCUACCUAGUAGAAGGGGAUAGCCCGGGGAAACUCGGAUUAAUACCGUAUACCUCCUUCGGGAGAAAGAAGGCCUCUCUUUGAAGCUUUCGCUAUUAGAUGAGCCUGCGUAAGAUUAGCUUGUUGGUGAGGUAAAGGCUCACCAAGGCGACGAUCUUUAGCGGGUCUGAGAGGACGAUCCGCCACAUUGGGACUGAGACACGGCCCAGACUCCUACGGGAGGCAGCAGUGGGGAAUAUUGGACAAUGGGCGCAAGCCUGAUCCAGCCAUACCGCGUGUGUGAAGAAGGCCCUAGGGUUGUAAAGCACUUUAAGUUGGGAAGAAAAGUUAUUGGUUAAUACCCAAUAACCGUGACAUUACCAUCAGAAUAAGGACCGGCUAAUUCCGUGCCAGCAGCCGCGGUAAUACGGAAGGUCCAAGCGUUAAUCGGAAUUACUGGGCGUAAAGCGCGCGUAGGUGGUUUAUUAAGUUGGAUGUGAAAUCCCCGGGCUCAACCUGGGAACUGCAUCCAAAACUGAUUCACUAGAGUACGAUAGAGGGAGGUAGAAUUCACAGUGUAGCGGUGGAAUGCGUAGAUAUUGUGAAGAAUACCAAUGGCGAAGGCAGCCUCCUGGAUCUGUACUGACACUGAGGUGCGAAAGCGUGGGUAGCGAACAGGAUUAGAUACCCUGGUAGUCCACGCCGUAAACGAUGUCAACUAGCUGUUGGAAAACUAUGUUUUUCAGUGGCGCAGCUAACGUAGUAAGUUGACCGCCUGGGGAGUACGGCCGC